UUUCAUCCUUUCGGGGUCGAUUAAAUAAGUACCAGUUACGCACUGGGGUCGAUAUAAUCGACUUAAUCCGUUUGUCUGUCCUCUCUGUGUUUAGCCCCUUGUGGGUUGUAAAGAAAUAGGUAGGAGUGUUGGGAAAAUGGGUUGUGGGGCAGUUUUGUCAGAGAACAGAAUUAUGUUUGUGAGGGGGAUGGCCAUAAAGGGCAUGCCUGUAUGUAAGGAUGCCCAUGAUUUUACUUAGCUGGACAUAACUUCUCAAGCACAGCAAACGGGUGUGUUACAUGACGCCAGCAUCGGCCAUGUUGAAUUCAUUUUAACUUUGCUUGUGAUCCACAAGGUAUCAGUAGCUGGACUGACACUCCACUGAAGACUGGUAAUUCAGUGUCUUGUUCUGAAGUGCAGCAAAAUCUUUUAAUUUUAAGAAUCAUCAUCAUCAUUUAGCAUCCGCUUUCCAUGCUAGCAUGGGUUGGACGGUUCAACUGGGGUCUGGGAAGCCAGAAGGCUGCACCGGGCCCAGUCUGAUCUGGCAAUGUUUCUACAGCUGGCUGCCCUUCCAUAUCUUAAUAAAACAAAUUUUUUAUACAAAUCACUCUCAAGUUGCAAUUAAUUCAUUUUCUACAUCAAUCAUGGUCAAAUUGUGACCCACAGGUACUUUCUGAACAGCAUGCUUAAAUGCAAGGUCACAUUGGAUUUUCUUUAAUCAUGAGGUCUACUUGAUGCUGAGCUGUGUCUCAUGCAGCCCACUUCUCACAAAAUAUUCCCCAUAGCUGUUCUAGAUGGUAAAAAAAUGUCCAAUAUACUGGUUAGUUUCAUUUGAUGUCCAGUUGUCAACCACACAGACUGUCCGCUUAAUAAACAUCACUUAAUUAAACAAAGAGAAAACAACAACAAAUUAACAAAAGAACAUUUCUUUUAUUUAUCCCUUUCUACAGUUAAAGAUAGUUUUAGAAAAGAGACAGUGAUGUCAAAAAAAGCCAGCAGAAAAAAAAUAUGACUAUUAUGGGAUAAAAUGUUUCUAGUCAGCUGCAUAGUAGAAAAUAGCAGAAACAGUCUUAGCAAA